rnacentral:rRNA from 1 species
GAUGAACGCUAGCGGCAGGCUUAAUACAUGCAAGUCGUGGGGCAGCAUGAGUAGCAAUACUUGAUGGCGACCGGCAAACGGGUGAGGAACACGUACACAACCUUCCUUCAAGCGGGGAAUAGCCCAGAGAAAUUUGGAUUAAUACCCCAUAAUAUAUUUGAUAAGGCAUCUUAUUAAUAUUAAAGCUUCGGCACUUGAUGAUGGGUGUGCGGCUGAUUAGAUAGUUGGCGGGGUAACGGCCCACCAAGUCUACGAUCAGUAGCUGAUGUGAGAGCAUGAUCAGCCACACGGGCACUGAGACACGGGCCCGACUCCUACGGGAGGCAGCAGUAAGGAAUAUUGGACAAUGGACGAAAGUCUGAUCCAGCCAUGCCGCGUGAAGGAUUAAGGUCCUCUGGAUUGUAAACUUCUUUUAUAUGGGACGAAAAAGGGCAUUCUUGUUCACUUGACGGUACCAUAUGAAUAAGCACCGGCUAACUCCGU